CCUACGGGAGGCAGCAGUGGGGAAUAUUGGACAAUGGGCGCAAGCCUGAUCCAGCCAUGCCGCGUGAGUGAUGAAGGUCUUAGGAUUGUAAAGCUCUUUCACCGGUGAAGAUAAUGACUGAACCGGAGAAGAAGCCCCGGCUAAGCUUCCUGCCAGCAGCCGCGGUAAU
rnacentral:rRNA from 1 species